rnacentral:rRNA from 1 species
GCAUAUCAAUAAGCGGAGGAAAAGAAACCAACAGGGAUUACCUCAGUAACGGCGAGUGAAGCGGUAAAAGCUCAAAUUUGAAAUCUGGCUCUUUUAGAGUCCGAAUUGUAAUUUGUAGAAGAUGCUUCGGGUGUGGUUCCGGUCUAAGUUCCUUGGAACAGGACGUCAUAGAGGGUGAGAAUCCCGUAUGUGACUGGAUACCUAUGCUCAUGUGAAGCUCUUUCGACGAGUCGAGUUGUUUGGGAAUGCAGCUCAAAAUGGGAGGUAUAUUUCUUCUAAAGCUAAAUAUUGGCCAGAGACCGAUAGCGCACAAGUAGAGUGAUCGAAAGAUGAAAAGCACUUUGGAAAGAGAGUUAAACAGUACGUGAAAUUGUUGAAAGGGAAGCGCUUGCAAUCAGACUUGCACUUGGUGUUCAUCAGGGUCUCGUACCCUGUGUACUUCAUCAAGUUCAGGCCAGCAUCAGUUUGAGUGGUUAGAUAAAGGCUUAGAGAAUGUGGCCCUCUUCGGGGGGUGUUAUAGCUCUAGGUGCAAUGUAGCCUACUUGGACUGAGGACCGCGCUUCGGCUAGGAUGCUGGCGUAAUGGUUGUAAGCGACCCGUCUUGAAACACGGACCAAGGAGUGUACCUAAUAUGCGAGUGUUUGGGUGUUAAACCCAUACGCGUAAUGAAAGUGAACGCUGGUGAGAACCCUUAAGGGUGCAUCAUCGACCGAUCUUGAUGUCUUCGGAUGGAUUUGAGUAAGAGCAUAUUGGGUGCGACCCGAAAGAUGGUGAUCUAUACGUGAAUAGGGUGAAGCCAGAGGAAACUCUGGUGGAGGCUCGCAGCGGUUCUGACGUGCAAAUCGAUCGUCAAAUUUGCGUAUAGGGGCGAAAGACUAAUCGAACCAUCUAGUAGCUGGUUUCCUGCCGAAGU